UGCUGUUAUAAUUUAUUGAUAGAAGUGUUCAAAAAACCUUUAUUCUCUAAAUAAACCACAAUUUCGCAGGCAGUGAUAUUAACUUGUAUUCCAGUCUACAUACACCUAAUACAUAUAAUGAAUUCUGGGGUUUCACUAUGGCAUUUUGCACGUUCUGACGUGGGGUCAACCUAAAAUGUAUUGAUGCUUAUGCUGUACUGGAGUGAGCAAAUGAUAUGAAAUUGCAUGUAUUUGCUACCAAACACAAGGCCAACAC
rnacentral:lncRNA from 1 species